ACAGAGGGAUAGCCCAGAGAAAUUUGGAUUAAUACCUCAUAGUAUAUAGACUCGGCAUCGAGAUUAUAUUAAAGUCACAACGGUAAAAGAUGAGCAUGCGUCCCAUUAGCUAGUUGGUAAGGUAACGGCUUACCAAGGCUACGAUGGGUAGGGGUCCUGAGAGGGAGAUCCCCCACACUGGUACUGAGACACGGACCAGACUCCUACGGGAGGCAGCAGUGAGGAAUAUUGGACAAUGGGCGCAAGCCUGAUCCAGCCAUGCCGCGUGCAGGAUGACGGUCCUAUGGAUUGUAAACUGCUUUUAUACGAGAAGAAACACUCCUUCGUGAAGGAGCUUGACGGUAUCGUAAGAAUAAGGAUCGGCUAACUCCGUGCCAGCAGCCGCGGUAAUACGGAGGAUCCAAGCGUUAUCCGGAAUCAUUGGGUUUAAAGGGUCCGUAGGCGGUUUAAUAAGUCAGUGGUGAAAGCCCAUCGCUCAACGGUGGAACGGCCAUUGAUACUGUUAGACUUGAAUUAUUAGGAAGUAACUAGAAUAUGUAGUGUAGCGGUGAAAUGCUUAGAGAUUACAUGGAAUACCAAUUGCGAAGGCAGGUUACUACUAAUUGAUUGACGCUGAUGGACGAAAGCGUG
rnacentral:rRNA from 1 species